CUUAACCACUGAGCCAGGAUGGGAACUCCUGGAACUGCAGCUGUUUAGUGAGAGAAUUUAUUGACUUCUUUCAAGAGUAUUAAGCUUUGGAGCUUGGUAAAUGAUAAAUGGGGUGGGGGAAUCCCAUGAUCACUGAGCAACCUCGAAAACCCCACUACGACCUCCCUGGGCUGCAGGGCGAGCAGUCUGCCCCAUCUCCCUCCACCGCGCAGAGCCAGGUACUGUCGGGCGGGGCCUUCCGCGCCGGCCGGACGGGUCACGUGCACCCGCGACGGCCACGCCCAUCCCAGGCUCGGCCCCUGCACCGCGCCUGGGGCGGAGGGUCGUAGCGACGUUCGGCGGGCGUGCGCGAGCAAACGUGCUGCGUCCGGAUAGCUGGGCCUUAGGUGCGGGGGAUGGCAGGGUUGGCGGCGCAUGUAGGUCUUGCGGCUCCCGGCUGGGCGGUCGGCAACUUGGGCUCGAAGACGGCUUUACAGCCCUGCCCAACCUCCGACCGCGCGGCAGGGUCUACGGGGCCUCUCCGUUGGCGGGUGGGCGGCACGGACCUUCCACGGGUAGGGACAGGGGACAUGGCUAAGCGCAAGGCCGCGUCCUCCGCAGGCACAGCCGCACGAUCCCUUCCUCCCGCCGCAGGUCCCCUGACUCGCGCAGUGCCCUUCGCCUUUAGCUUUACCUGUACUGGGCCGCCGAUUGGUAAGGUUUGGCCGAAGGAGCCCGCAAACGGGGCUCCCUUUCGCCUUCCGUAGUAGGCGGGGCUUCGGCCUGCGUCUUUAAAGGAAAGGUGACGUGAGGCGGGGUGCUUCCGGUCGGCGACUCAACGUCCGCCGACGGAAAAUGUCGCUGCCGAGGGGCGUUCCCUUCGUGAAGUUGGUGCCGGCCUGGCCGGCUGCUGCAGGUUGAGCGGAGACCAGAGCAUCCCUUCCGUACGUUCCAUUAAGUCGGCUCCAACCUUGGUGUGGCUGUGUUCACGUUAGGGCUUAGUUUUUGUGCACGUCUUCUUUUCUUAAAUAACAUAGUAUUUUGAUAUAUACUUAAUAAACGUCUUCAAACGUUUAAACGUCUGUAAUCGUUUGUGAGUUCGGAUGCACUGUCUAGAAUUGCAGGUGAGCAGACAGACUCGGAAAGUAAAGGCUCCCCUCGGUUCCCAGACGAGGAGACUAGUUCAGCCUUAAGUACCUCCUUGAGAGCAAAGACCACGUUUCCGUUUCCUCAUCGAAUCCAUGGCUUCGAGCAAAGAAAUUUCAGGCAAGGAGAUGAAAGCCUGUAUCAGCAGCUGUCUCAGUGUUCCCGGCAACUGAGAGAAUCUGAAAUGACCUAAAUCCAUCAUGCGCCUGCUUCUCUGGGUUCCUCAGAAGAGCUGGAACAUCUGGGGACCACAUCUGUGUUAAAACCCUUCACGGACUCUCAGACUAUGCUUCAAUUUCCUUAUCAUGCGUAAAACUUCCCAUCACAUUAGACUCCAGAGGAAAUGUGUAUCAAAAAUGAUGGCACCGAUUAUUCUAACAGGGUGGCGGUCGGGAAUGAGCAAAGCAAAUUUGUCUGAAAUGAAUGGCAUUGUGAUGAGUUUCUUUUAAAAGCUCUCAUGUCUGCUAAGUAACAGAAUAUUUAUGUAUGGAAGGGCCAUUGAUCUUCUGUGAAAAGUCUCUUGCGCAACCGAAUGAAGCAGAAAAUAGGUUCGAAAGUCUCCUUUGGAAAAACAACAGGGCCAUAUGUUUCCCUUUCAAAGAUGUUAAGUUUGGGGUGAUUCAGUGAACUUUGAUCAUUUCUGAAACCCUGAGUGAAAACCAUGUUCGUUACCGUCGUAAGACGUCAUGCAGCCAUACGAGGGGCUGGAGGAAUCAUUAUGGAACGCGCACCGUUGGAUUCAGUGUGAGUCAGAGCAAAGCAGGACCAAUAAUUGCGUGUUUUACACUCAAGUUGUAAACACGCAUGUCAGAUCUGGUUACAAGGCUCUUUAAGGAAGGCAGGACUGACAGCAAAUACAGUGCUAGUGAUGAAACAGACUUGUGCUCUGUUUCCCAUCUUUGAGGAAAAUGGAACUAAAAGCAAAUCAUUCCCUCCUGGAAGCUUCCUCAGAUGGGGAGUUUUACAUGUUUGCUGUAGGGGAAACUCUUUCCAAGGUACGUUUCUGUCCUCGUCGGGUUGCUUCCCCCUGGAAGUUGCUAGGUUCCACCGCAAAGAUUUUAAAGGCUGUUUUGCUGGCAGCCUGGGCUGCAUCCAUGACCUUACC